rnacentral:rRNA from 1 species
AGUGAACGCUGGCGGUAGGCCUAACACAUGCAAGUCGAACGGCAGCACAGGAGAGCUUGCUCUCUGGGUGGCGAGUGGCGGACGGGUGAGGAAUACAUCGGAAUCUACUUUUUCGUGGGGGAUAACGUAGGGAAACUUACGCUAAUACCGCAUACGACCUACGGGUGAAAGCAGAGGAUCUUCGGACCUUGCGCGACUGAAUGAGCCGAUGUCGGAUUAGCUAGUUGGCGGGGUAAAGGCCCACCAAGGCGACGAUCCGUAGCUGGUCUGAGAGGAUGAUCAGCCACACUGGAACUGAGACACGGUCCAGACUCCUACGGGAGGCAGCAGUGGGGAAUAUUGGACAAUGGGCGCAAGCCUGAUCCAGCCAUACCGCGUGGGUGAAGAAGGCCUUCGGGUUGUAAAGCCCUUUUGUUAGGAAAGAAAUCCAGCUGGUUAAUACCCGGUUGGGAUGACGGUACCCAAAGAAUAAGCACCGGCUAACUUCGUGCCAGCCGCCGCGGUAA